GACGAACGCUGGCGGCGUGCUUAACACAUGCAAGUCGAGCGGUAAGGCCCUUUCGGGGGUACACGAGCGGCGAACGGGUGAGUAACACGUGGGUGACCUGCCCUUAGCUCUGGGAUAAGCCUGGGAAACUGGGUCUAAUACCGGAUAUGACUCCAUGACGCAUGUUGUGGGGUGGAAAGCCUUGUGCGGCUAGGGAUGGGCCCGCGGCCUAUCAGCUUGUUGGUGGGGUGAUGGCCACCAAGGCGACGACGGGUAGCCGGCCUGAGAGGGCGACCGGCCACACUGGGACUGAGACACGGCCCAGACUCCUACGGGAGGCAGCAGUGGGGAAUCUUGCGCAAUGGGCGAAAGCCUGACGCAGCGACGCCGCGUGGGGAUGACGGCCU
rnacentral:rRNA from 1 species